CAAAGGUAUUUAUGCAUUUUUUUUAACCUUUAUGUAGAACAAGUUCUAUUUUGUAAGGCAUAAAGCAAAGUUUCAGAUUAGCCUGUGAAGACUGCACAGGCUUAUCCAAAACAACACUAUGCACAUGCAUUAAGUUCAGUUUUCCCAUAAGCGCUCAAUUGAAUUGAAAUUGCAGCCCACCUGAUAGACAGUGUGGCUGCCCGGGUGGGUGUGUAGAGUGAGACCAGCCAUAGAUACAUCCAGUCUGCCCUUCAGCAUCUCCGCAUUGUUGCACUGCGCCAUGUACUGAGGCCACAAAGACUUUCAGACUCACCUAUAACUAGGAGGUCCAUGUGGCUGCCCAACCAUGCACACAGGCUCUGAGCCUGUGAACCCGUAACCCUCCACCUCAGGUGGGAACUGGCUGCCUAGGUAGAUGUAAUGAACGUCCGGCGGUGGUGUGGAGCGGGUCACAGAGUGGUCAGUCUGGGGCCGCAGGCACUGCAUGUACUGGGGAGGUGUGGUCAACAUGUGAGACCAUUUCAGCACCUGCAGUUAAGUUUAAACCUAUUUAUCUAAGCUCAAUUGCAUUGAAAGACUAAGGCUUAUUGAUACCCUUUUUAGUCUGAUUACUGGUUUGAACCAGUGUGUUGUGUCUUUUGAGGAGAUCUAAAGAACGCCUCCACAGUGGAGAUCCAACAUGGAACCACCUGACGGUUACACUAAAAUCGACUUCAUCUAACAUGGCUAAUUGAAUAUAAAUUGGGACUUCAUUUAAAUGUUGAAUACUUAAAGUUUGAAAUUUCCUUGCCUUUGAUAUAAACAGUUUUGAGAUAAAUAUAAACAUAUAACUUAUGUUUAAGUAUAAGUGUAUUUAUAAGUGUUUUUUUUCACCCAAUGUUAGUUUUGUUAACUGUAGCAAGCAUUGACUUAUUUUACUGAUCAGGGCAUUUCCUUAGGAAAAGUUUGACAGUGUUCACAUCAAAAUGAUGGAUAUUGAAACAAGGUUCGCCAAAACAGUUUAGUGUUUAAAUACAUCCAUCAAAGAUUGAAACAUUUUGAAAGUAUAUGUUGGCAUUGAAAAGAAGGAAAUCAGCUGAGAGGAGCAGAAUCCCACACCUGCAAUCAUAUCUCACACCUGCAAUCAUAUCUCACAAAUGCAAGGAUAUCUCACUCAUGCAAGGAUAUCUCACACCUGCAAACAUAUCUUACACAUGCAAUCAUAUCUCACACCUGCAAGCAUAUCUCACUCCUGCAAGUAUAUCUCACACCUGCAAGCAUAUCUCACACCUGCAAGCAUAUCUCACACCUGCAAUCAUAUCUCACACCUGCAAUCAUAUCUCACAAAUGCAAUGAUAUCUCACACAUGCAAUUAUAUAUCACACCUGCAAGCAUAUCUCACACCUGCAAUAUCUCACACCUGCAAUCAUAUUUCACACCUCUAAGCAUAUCUCAAACAUGCAAUCAUAUCUCGAACUGCAAUCAUAUCUCACGCCUGCAAUUAUAUCUCACUCCUACAAUCAUAUCUCACACCUGCAAUCAUAUCUCACGCCUGCAAUCAUAUCUCACACGUGCAGUCAUAUCUCACACCUGCAAUCAUAUCUCACACCUGCAAUCAUAUCUCACGCCUGCAAUUAUAUCUCACACUGCAAUCAUAUCUCACACCCACAAUCAUACAUCACACCUGCAAUCAUAUCUCACACCUGCAAUCGUAUCUCACACCUGCAAUCGUAUCUCACACCUGCAAUCAUAUCUCACACCUGCAAUCAUAUUUCACACCUGCAAUCUUAUCUCACACCUACAAUUAUAUCUCACACCUGCAAGCAUAUCUCACCGGACACCUUGGGAAGCGCUGAUCCAUGAGCAUGAGGCUAUAGUCUGUGGCAAGGAUGCUGUACAGACUGCUGGCAGGGUGGCGCCCACAAGCUCGCAGUCUCUCCCUCUUGUGCAGACUGGAGUCUGGAAGGCAGAACAGGUCCACAGCCACCUGCGUCUGAAUAGGUCAAUCAUUUGAAGGGCAGUCUGGUCACAGAACAGGGCCUGUCUCGGGUGGCCACCAUACUGGACCCAGCUCCAAGGGUCACUGACCGGGAACCGUGGCUGCUGUCUGGCUGACCAAGGAACCAGCUGUCUGUCUGUCCACUCGUAAACCAUGCCUGUGUCUGUACUGACCAAACACUCACCUGGGAUGUAUGGGCUUAAUGGAAGUGAAAUAAUUCAAUAUAAACAGACAUCUGAUAAUUAUCAAUUUGCUGAAAGGCAAACAUUUGAAGCCACCCUUUGCUUAAACACCGGAGAAGCAGUAUAAAAGGCCACAAACUCACAAAAUGUCUACUUUUCAGUUGUACACUGGUGUGUAAACAGCAGAAAACAAAAAUGAUUAUUUUCAAAAUGUUUAAGUUUCUAUUGAGUAUUUUCCGAUGAAAUUUGGCAUACAUAUACUUUAGUAUACAAACAAUAUGUAUGUGUAAUUUGGGGUUGAAAGUUAUAUAGUUAUCGACUUACAAAAAAAGUUUUUUGUUGUCUGCUACUUGAAAUUCAAAUUUCCCUGUAAAUGCUAAGCACCGCCCACUUGAAAGGUUAUGAACUUCUGUCAGCCAAUAUCUAGCGGAUGACUCAAAUCAAGUUUACAUGUAAAUGCAGAUUCAACACUAUACCAAAUUGCUGUCUACUCAAACACGUGUUUCUAUUUAUAAACACUCUAAUGUUAUCAGCAAAUCACUGGCAGAUAAACCCAGCCCGCUAGUUAAUGUAGGUCAACAUUUUACCACCACAAAAUCAAGCGAGAUCCGGCUUUUAAAUUAAAUCAUAAGUAAGCUGUGAACAUUCAUAAAGCAUUCUCACAAUUGCACUAAAACAUUACAAAACAAUAAAAUGCUUUUAAAGUAUAUAAUCAAUUGUAAGCAAAUAGUCAUGCAAUCAUUCUGGAAAAAAACUAUGGAAUAAAAAAAAGCAAUUUAAUACAAUCUACCCUCUUUGUUUCAAUGCAGCAAUUACCUGAUAGUGAGAGACUGGACAUGCUCCUCAUCUGGUAAUCUGAUUUUGUAGAUCUUUUCAAGACCUACUCCUUGAUUUGAGUCUCCUUGGGCUUUGUAGAGAGAGCAGAUCUUCGAAGUCCUGGCACUUACAUACACUGCCAAGUGGACGUGCAUGUAGGAGGCCCGACUUGCCCUCGUUGAUGUGCAGCAGUGCUGGAGUCAAGGUCA